UCCAUGUGGUGGAUUAGAGCUAAUACAUGCGAGAAGCGCCGACCUCGCGGGAGGCGUGCAUUUAUCAGACCAAAAACCGGCCGCGUCUUCGGGCGCGUUCGCCUUGGUGACUCUGGAUAACUUUGCGGAUCGCACGGUCUAGCACCGGCGACGGAUCAUUCAAGUGUCUGCCCUAUCAACUUUCGUCGGUACGGUAUUUGCCUACCGAGGUUCUUACGGGUGACGGGGAAUCAGGGUUCGAUUCCGGAGAGGGAGCCUGAGAAACGGCUACCACAUCCAAGGAAGGCAGCAGGCGCGCAAAUUACCCAUUCCCGACGCGGGGAGGUAGUGACGAAAAAUAACAAUGCAGGACUCGUUCGAGGCCCUGUAAUUGGAAUGAGUACACUUUAAAAGCUUUAACGAGUAUCCAUUGGAGGGCAAGUCUGGUGCCAGCAGCCGCGGUAAUUCCAGCUCCAAAAGUAUAUAUUUAAGUUGUUGCGGUUAAAAAGCUCGUAGUUGGAUUUUGGGCGCAGGCGGCCGGUCCGUCGCAAGGCGUGUACUGGACGUCCUGGCCUUCCCUCCGGUUCUCCGCCGGUGCUCUUGACUGAGUGUCGGCGGCGGCCGGAACGUUUACUUUGAAAAAAUUAGAGUGUUCAAAGCAGGCUCUCGAGCCUGGAUAAUAGUGCAUGGAAUAAUGGAAUAGGACCUCGGUUCUAUUUUGUUUGGUUUUCGGAGCGCGAGGUAAUGAUUAA
rnacentral:ncRNA from 1 species